UCUUCUCACUACAAGCAGCCAGAAAAGAGCAGACAGCAAAACACAGAUAAGACAGCUCAGACACAGAGGAAGGCAGGGAGAAAGUCUCUUGGGUAACUGCCAAACUUCACCCUCGUACAAUGUGUCCCUAGUAAAACCGUGGGCCUUCUUAAUAGGCACAUUCCUUUCCCUUAAGGUGCACUAAGAUAAGGAAGCUAAAGGCAGACUCCGGGGAUAUGCCUGCAGCUGCAGAAAGAUACCUGUGAACAGACACACAGCUCUCCCUACCAGCAAUUUGCAUGAGGAGGACAGCUGACCUGAAGGGGACUGCGAGGCUCAGGCUGGGGCUACUCCACGGUGGGCUUUCGAAACUCUCAGGUCUCAGGAAUCCACCUCCAACUGCCCAUAACAGGAGGAAAUCUCUUCACUGCUCGUGCUGACAACGGAAGACUGAGCGUGCCCAGAAUCCUUCGCCUCCACGCCUCCUGAGUCCACGGAACCCAGGGUCUUACGGUGUCAGGACCCACUUCCCUUUGCCUCACCCGAAUCCCGGAGGAAAAAGAGGAAAAAUCCACAAAGCCGCUUAUGUCUCUCUCACUUCCUGACUUUCAUCGCUUCCUAACCCACCUUGCUGCAGACCUUCAGUGGUACCCUCACGAAGCACCCAUUGAACAUCCUGAUCAGCUCCUUGCUCUUCUACGGGAGCUAUGGCUUCAAGGAACUUUCCAGGACUUCACUUCUACCCAAAUCACCUUUUUCUCUUUUUGCUUGUUUCUUUUACUGUAAAUUCCCUGAAUACAUCAACCUCACCAAUACAACCGCUCCUCACUGCUCUCAAGCUCAGAUGCUCUACACACCCUACACAGUCCCUCUUACUGCAGGCUGACUCCUCCCUUGCCUCGGAAUGCUGGAUGUGCUUAUCGCUGACUUCCUUCUUAGCCCUUCCUGCACCCCUUCAUGACCUUUUGACUGGAAAGAUAACCCCAAUUUAUAAACUCCAAAAUGGAGCUUCCCCGUUUAAAAAAGUUGACUCUCUAUUCGGCGAUGAUCCAAUUUCCAGGGCCAAUCAGGCUAACAAAUUAUUCCAAACCUAUUAGAACUUUCUUCAAUACCUUAAGCCCCAAGGCCCCCCCAUUGAAGGUCCUAUCACUAAACACAACUUUCAUUUUCAACAAGCCUCACUCUGCUUUUCAGACUCUAAGGGCAAUCUCCCUGUUGGGUCCUUAUCCCCUCACCAAUGUAACUGCACUAUCAUUGUUAAACACCCCUUUGACCACCAAACUAAUCGAAGUAACUACCAAGUGUCACCUGAAGCAAAGGGGAGCAUUUCUGCAACCUGCUCACUCAUUUUCCAGCCUCUCCCUUAGCCAAUGUCCCCCGCCUAACCUGUGCUGUCCCUAAUGCACACCUUUUCCCAUGGCUCAAUAUUAAUGGCUCAGCAUCCGACUGCAUUACGUGUGUAAAAAGUAACUCUUCCUUUGUUAAAUCAAGCAGAAAA